GGAGAACUGAGGGGGGCUGCUCCUAGUACGAGAGGACCGGAGUGGACGCAUCACUGGUGUUCGGGUUGUCAUGCCAAUGGCACUGCCCGGUAGCUAAAUGCGGAAGAGAUAAGUGCUGAAAGCAUCUAAGCACGAAACUUGCCCCGACGAUGAGUUCUCCCUGAGACUUUAAGUCUCCUGAAGGAACGUUGAAGACGACGACGUUGAUAGGCCGGGUGUGUAAGCGCAGCGAUGCGUUGAGCUAACCGGUACUAAUGAACCGUGAGGCUUAACCUUACAACGCCGAAG
rnacentral:rRNA from 1 species